rnacentral:sRNA from 1 species
UAUUUGUGGUUAGGGUGACUUGGAUGAGAACCCCCGUUCGAGCCGGGCGCCAUAGGCGUGAGACAGCGCCGUCAAAGAUGGCGACCCGAAGGGCGAAGGCCGUGGCCUGAGUAAUCCCUCCCUCACCGCCA